rnacentral:rRNA from 1 species
UACGUAGGGGGCGAGCGUUGUCCGGAAUUACUGGGCGUAAAGGGUGCGUAGGCGGCCUAGCAAGUCCUGUGUGAAAGGCCCCGGCUUAACCGGGGAGAGCCAUGGGAAACUGUUAGGCUCGAGUGCCGGAGAGGGUGGCGGAAUUCCCGGUGUAGCGGUGAAAUGCGUAGAGAUCGGGAGGAACACCAGUGGCGAAGGCGGCCACCUGGACGGUGACUGACGCUGAGGCACGACAGCUGGGGGAGCAAACAGG